CUCCAAUGCUUCUGUAUGUCUCACUCAGAGGGCUGCAACAUUUUAAAGGAAGUAAGGCCUCAUGCAUGCACGCUGCUGCAGAAAACAAAGGCUGGAGAUGGCGAUACCAUGGGAACAGGCGGUGUGGCUCAGAGAUCAUGCAAAGGCAUUGCCUCUCCCAUUUCAAAAUAAAUCCUCUGUGGAAUUUCAGGUACAGUUGGUGGAAAACCUUAACUAUACACUCUAUUGUUAGCUAUACAGUAUGUAUUGAGUACAACCUAGCAGAAUAUAUGCAUACCAGUGCUAAUGAAACUGAUGAUUGAAGGUGGAAGAGAGUGCUAUUUAUUCACUUCCCCGACUGACAAUUCCUGCCGUUGCUGGGAAUUGAACCCGCAACCCUCAGGUUACAAGAUGAUUAGGCCAUGACUGCUCUAGUAGUUAUCAUCUCCCCUGAAGGGCUUGACUGGACAAAGGUUCAUCAACUUGAUUAAUAAACCACGAUGCAUCCCCAGAAAAUAUUAUCAAUGGGAUUUUGAUUCACCUCAAUGAAUACAUAUCAGUUCAGCAAAAGGGUUUGCACAGUCAGCACCUAUAGCCACAUGGUUAGUGUGGUGACACAUAGCACAACUUUGCUUGGGGUGACCCAAGUUCAAUUCCCAUCCUCUCCCCUUUGCUGAUCUCGUCCCCCUUUAUCCAAUCAAAAAUGCUUUCCUGUCUAAUCUCUACUGUCCUAUUCAGUAAGGGCAUAAAAGCCAAUAAAUAUAACUUCACAUUUUGCUCAUAUUCGUUUACCACUUCAUAUGGACACAUUCCUUUAUUCCUGAAGGUAAAUAUUCAUUCAAAAACAGGCAAUCACCAUACCAUCACGAAAUUAAACCCAAUCAAUAAAAAACAAAAAAACCUAAGAAUAAAACAAAGCUAAAGGAUUGCGAAUAUUUGAGUGAUCAGAGACUUGUGUUUUAGCAAGGUAAGUGGACACAAGCACCAUUAAAGCAAAUCAAAUGUAACAACAGUUUUUAACUUCAGAGAGUCCACAUGCUUCAUUGCUGUGGCAGUAACCUCAGCUGGCAGAGACUAUUGAGACUUCAGAACAACUUUGUUCUUACAGAGAACGGAAUUGUAUUUUUAAUAAAAAAGGAUAGUAUGUCUUGGUGUAUAUUUGAGUGUUUUAGUUGAUUCUAAAAUUUCUGGAAUGAAUGGUUUGAAAUGCACCACUAAUGGGUUUAUUUUGAUUACUGAGCGAUUUACAAUUUAUCUUUUGGUCCAUACACAGCUAUUAGACAAACUUGCAUAUAACAUCGUAGGUAGAAGUGUUACCGCUGUACUAUUAAAAAAAAAAAAAAAAAGAGGAAGGGUUUUAUGACAGCACAGUGUAAAGGAAGUGUUCUGUCAAACUCAAACUCUGACAGAGUACAUUCUGUGUGAGAAACAAAAAACCUAACAGAGCUCUACAAACUACACUGAGAAAAAUGUUGUGCUUAAAGUUGGGGUUCUGAAAGGUAAAUUGUUUAAUCACAUAUAAAAAUAUCCAUUAAGUAGUAGUGGAUGAUGUAAAUUAAAUAAUAUUUCAGAAUGAUGGACACUGGUGCUACUGGAACUUUAAGGCAGUAAUAUAUUUACAUUUACAUUUACAUUAAGUCAUUUAGCAGACGCUUUUAUCCAAAGCGACUUACAAAUGAGGACAGAGUGGAAGCAAUCUAAAUCAACAAAAGAGCAAUGAUAUGCAAGUCUCAGCUUAACGCAGUACACAUAGCAAGGGCUUUUUAAAUAAUAUAAAUAAAAAGAAUAGAAGAAUAGAGCAAGCUAGUGUUCGAGAUCUUUUUUGCUUUUAUUAAUUGUAUGAUAAAUUAAAAUAAAACUGAUAGAAUACAAAAAGAUUAGAACAAGUUAAUAUAAUUAGAAUAGAGAGUGCUAGAGUUAGAAAAUUAAAUAAAGAUGGAAGAGGGUUGGUUUUAGCCAAUUCAUGAAGAUGGCUAAGAACUCGGCUGCUCGGAUUGAGUUGGGGAGGACAUUCCACCAGUUUAAAAGUCUGUAAGAGUGAUUCUUUGGGAUGGCACAAUAAAGCGACGUUCACUUGCAGAAUGCAAGCUUCUAAAGUAACUGAUGCCUCAACUUUUUAAAUAUUAAAAAUGUAAUAUAAUUAUUAUUAUUUCAAAAGCAAUUCAACAUUCAUUUUUGAUGAUGUUGUUUAUGAAUAUUUUCAAAGAAAAUAUACAGCUUUUUUGUACUGGAGGUAACAUUUCAUUCAUAGGAUGAAGGACACAUUACCAAAGGUGUUUGUUGUUGUCGUCAGUCUGCUCCUCUCAAAGGAUCACAAUGUCCUUCACGACCAAGAUGAUUGCAUUAUGGUGAGCAUGCAAGACCAUGAGCACUUUCUGUUGGAGGAGGGGGCAAAGCUAGAACAUGGGGAGCAUAGUGUUGCCAUGAAGCUGCCACAUUCAAUUCAGGAAGAGUCACAAAGUCAUCGCAGGGUGCCGAAAGGAGAGGGGGACACAUCAGAUGUUCAACAAAUUAUGCCAAAUGACACGACCACAGUGCUGCACACGGAGGAAAUGUCCCCAGUGGGAGAGCAAAAUGACUUCCACCAAAAGGCAUUUGCACCAGAUGACCAGGAAAUAUUGGAUAAUGAAACAGAUAAACAGAUAUUGCAUAUGUCAAAGGAAGGCCUAACACAUGAUCAUGUCAAUGAGGACCAGUCAGGGCCCACUGUGGACCAGAAUGUUCUCAGGGGGAUGUGGCACACCCGGAAAAGCCACAAUCUGACUGGUCCAUCACAAACAUCAAAUUGAUCAGGGAUUAUUCAUUGACCAAAAAAUACCAACUUCAAGUCAAAGGUUGACAACAAUAACUCAAGGGAAACAACCUAGUGACCAAGAGGACACAUACAGUUUGUACCUUUGAAAGACACUCUCCUUGAUUUAAAUUUUUUUUUAUUUUAAAAAAUGUAUUCAGAAAAGUUGCCUAGAUGCAAAGUAAAAUACUGAGAUGCCUGAA